AGUUGUUCAGUAGCAGUUUCACAGUUAUUUUAGAUUGUCAUAGUUGCUUUAUCACCUCACUGUUUAUCUAAAACAAGCAAGUGGAGAAUUUGAAUGGAAUACUGAAUGUGUCAAUUUAUUGUUGGUAAUGAAUUUCUUAUAAUUCGAUAUGCAGUGUAAUGGUGUGAGUUACACUCAAAACUAUUUUUGGCAACACAGAAGACAACAGGGCAUAAACUUUUAUUGGCUAAGCUGCAUAUUUCCUCAUCUGUUCUCUUGUGUGGACAGGCUAUUUGUUUUUGUAUGCAAAUGUUCUCAGUGACUGGGUAACUUGUAUAAAGAAUUAUGUAUCGUUCACAUUUAGGACACAACAUCUCUUGCUAGUCAGAGUUGAGAGUGGUAAAGAAAGCAGAAUCGUCAAGAAGGAUCCAGAAAGGGAUAAACAGGAGUCAGUAUCCUCUCACUUCAAAUUGAACUGUAUUUGAUGAACAGUUCAUAUCUCAAAAGUGAUGCUACACAACGCUUCAAUGAAAAUCCAUGUUGAGAAGGGCAAUGGAAACUGGUGAAGAGCCUGGAGCACGAGUCUUACAAAGAGCAGCUAUGGGGGCUGGGUCUAAAUAGCCUGGAGAAAAGGAGGCUGAGGGGUGACUUUAUUGCUCUCUACACCUAUCUGAAAAGGAGGGGUCAGUCUCUUUUCCCAGGUAACCAGUGACAGGAUGACAGACCUCAAGCUGCACCUCUGGGGAGGGUUAGUCUAGCUAUUAAGAAAAAAAUGUCUUCACAAAAAGAGCUGUCAAAUAUUGAAGCAGACUGCCCAGGGAACUGGUGGACUCUGUGCCUGCACAGAGUUUUUACGCUUUCUUAGCAACAUUUUCCCCAAGGCACCAUCAUCUUGGCUGAG